rnacentral:tRNA from 1 species
GCCGUGGCUCAGUGGCAGAUCAUCUGCUUGGCAUGCAGGAGGUCCCAGGUUCAAUCCUAAGCAUCUCCA